rnacentral:miRNA from 1 species
ACUUGUUGCCGUUUCCUACGU